CGUACCAGGUAAUUGUUGAACACACUUGUAAUGCACUUGCACACACUUGUGGUGAGGCUGCAGCUCUUGUGUAGGCUGCUUGUACUGGGCUGCUGAUGAUGCUACAGCUGCUGCUAUGGCGGAGGCUGCUGCUAGGCAUGUAGCUGCUGCUGUUACUAAGCAUUUGGGCACAUGGACUCGAUUUCUUCUGAAUAUAUUUUUACACUUCAUGCAGGAGAAAUGUCAGAAAAACAAGGAAAAUCGGUUUGAGCUUAAAGUCCUCCAUACAGCUGGCUCAAAGGCAUUUAGAAAGGUGCAAUAUGAUGAGCGAGACAAGGAUGGAAAGGAGCUUGGACUUGUUGAUUUGUAUCACAAGACACACUUUAGUCAGAAAAGGCAAGCAUGGGUCCAUAAUGAAGCUGAAAUUAGACAU